rnacentral:snRNA from 1 species
AUACUUACCUGACUGGUGUUUGGCGCUGCUCAAUGAGGGCGCUGACAUAAGCCGGAGCAGGCCCCUUGCACCCCGGUGCUGUAAAAGCUUAGGAAUGCUCGUUUGAGUAACUCCACAGUAGAAUUUUUGAUAGCGGGGGUGAGCGCGUGCGCCGCCCCCAC